rnacentral:rRNA from 1 species
AGUGAACGCUGGCGGUAGGCCUAACACAUGCAAGUCGAACGGCAGCACAGUAAGAGCUUGCUCUUACGGGUGGCGAGUGGCGGACGGGUGAGGAAUACAUCGGAAUCUACUUUUUCGUGGGGGAUAACGUAGGGAAACUUACGCUAAUACCGCAUACGACCUACGGGUGAAAGCAGGGGAUCUUCGGACCUUGCGCGAUUGAAUGAGCCGAUGUCGGAUUAGCUAGUUGGCGGGGUAAAGGCCCACCAAGGCGACGAUCCGUAGCUGGUCUGAGAGGAUGAUCAGCCACACUGGAAGUUAGACACGGUCCAGACUCCUACGGGAGGCAGCAGUGGGGAAUAUUGGACAAUGGGCGCAAGCCUGAUCCAGCCAUACCGCGUGGGUGAAGAAGGCCUUCGGGUUGUAAAGCCCUUUUGUUGGGAAAGAAAAGCAGCAGGUUAAUACCCCGCUGUUCUGACGGUACCCAAAGAAUAAGCACCGGCUAACUUCGUG